rnacentral:tRNA from 1 species
GUGCCCAUAGCUUAAUGGUAGAGCCUCCCGCUGUGGCCGGGAUGAUACGGGUUCAAUCCCCGUUGGGCACCCCA